AAAUUGAAGAGUUUGAUCAUGGCUCAGAUUGAACGCUGGCGGCAGGCCUAACACAUGCAAGUCGAACGGUAACAGGAAACAGCUUGCUGUUUCGCUGACGAGUGGCGGACGGGUGAGUAAUGUCUGGGAAACUGCCUGAUGGAGGGGGAUAACUACUGGAAACGGUAGCUAAUACCGCAUAACGUCGCAAGACCAAAGAGGGGGACCUUCGGGCCUCUUGCCAUCGGAUGUGCCCAGAUGGGAUUAGCUUGUUGGUGGGGUAACGGCUCACCAAGGCGACGAUCCCUAGCUGGUCUGAGAGGAUGACCAGCCACACUGGAACUGAGACACGGUCCAGACUCCUACGGGAGGCAGCAGUGGGGAAUAUUGCACAAUGGGCGCAAGCCUGAUGCAGCCAUGCCGCGUGUAUGAAGAAGGCCUUCGGGUUGUAAAGUACUUUCAGCGGGGAGGAAGGGAGUAAAGUUAAUACCUUUGCUCAUUGACGUUACCCGCAGAAGAAGCACCGGCUAACUCCGUGCCAGCAGCCGCGGUAAUACGGAGGGUGCAAGCGUUAAUCGGAAUUACUGGGCGUAAAGCGCACGCAGGCGGUUUGUUAAGUCAGAUGUGAAAUCCCCGGGCUCAACCUGGGAACUGCAUCUGAUACUGGCAAGCUUGAGUCUCGUAGAGGGGGGUAGAAUUCCAGGUGUAGCGGUGAAAUGCGUAGAGAUCUGGAGGAAUACCGGUGGCGAAGGCGGCCCCUGGACGAAGACUGACGCUCAGGUGCGAAAGCGUGGGGAGCAAACAGGAUUAGAUACCCUGGUAGUCCACGCCGUAAACGAUGUCGACUUGGAGGUUGUGCCCUUGAGGCGUGGCUUCCGGAGCUAACGCGUUAAGUCGACCGCCUGGGGAGUACGGCCGCAAGGUUAAAACUCAAAUGAAUUGACGGGGGCCCGCACAAGCGGUGGAGCAUGUGGUUUAAUUCGAUGCAACGCGAAGAACCUUACCUGGUCUUGACAUCCACGGAAGUUUUCAGAGAUGAGAAUGUGCCUUCGGGAACCGUGAGACAGGUGCUGCAUGGCUGUCGUCAGCUCGUGUUGUGAAAUGUUGGGUUAAGUCCCGCAACGAGCGCAACCCUUAUCCUUUGUUGCCAGCGGUCCGGCCGGGAACUCAAAGGAGACUGCCAGUGAUAAACUGGAGGAAGGUGGGGAUGACGUCAAGUCAUCAUGGCCCUUACGACCAGGGCUACACACGUGCUACAAUGGCGCAUACAAAGAGAAGCGACCUCGCGAGAGCAAGCGGACCUCAUAAAGUGCGUCGUAGUCCGGAUUGGAGUCUGCAACUCGACUCCAUGAAGUCGGAAUCGCUAGUAAUCGUGGAUCAGAAUGCCACGGUGAAUACGUUCCCGGGCCUUGUACACACCGCCCGUCACACCAUGGGAGUGGGUUGCAAAAGAAGUAGGUAGCUUAACCUUCGGGAGGGCGCUUACCACUUUGUGAUUCAUGACUGGGGUGAAGUCGUAACAAGGUAACCGUAGGGGAACCUGCAGUUGGAUCACCUCCUUACCUUAAAGAAGC
rnacentral:rRNA from 1 species